UACGAGGGGGCUAGCGUUGUUCGGAUUUACUGGGCGUAAAGCGCACGUAGGCGGAUCGUUAAGUCGGGGGUGAAAUCCUGGAGCUCAACUCCAGAACUGCCUUCGAUACUGGCGAUCUUGAGUCCGGAAGAGGUGAGUGGAACUCCUAGUGUAGAGGUGGAAUUCGUAGAUAUUAGGAAGAACACCAGUGGCGAAGGCGGCUCACUGGUCCGGUACUGACGCUGAGGUGCGAAAGCGUGGGGAGCAAACAGG
rnacentral:rRNA from 1 species